rnacentral:lncRNA from 1 species
ACUUCGCCAUUUUCCUCCGGAAGUGCGGAUCCCAGCGGCGGUCGUGUAGCUGAGCAGCCCUGGGGCUUGGUUCUAUGUCCCUGUGGCUAUGUUUCCAGUGUCCUCUGGGUGUUUCCAAGAGCAACAAGAAACGAAUAAAUCUCUGACCCUUCUCAGGUGCAGCCAGAGAGACACUAGCCCACUGAUGGAUGGACAGACGUGGGCAGGGUCCGUGUCACUAAACCACCCACCACUGCCACAGCUGCCUACAACAGACACAUCAGAUGACACUCCGGGCAAAUAAAUGAUUUUCACUGAGGACUUACUGGUUUUAAUAAUAGGUCCUGGUGUAGAGAAGUCCCUCAACCUAUUGUGCAAUGAGUUUUGAGAAGCGGGUAAGCUGUAUGUUUUGUGGUUCUGUUUCAUAAAUGCAUCUACAGGAAGACCAAUAUUGACUGAAUGAAGCUUUCAUUUAAAGAGCUAAAAUAUGCUUUGUGUUUUUAUAUGUGGAUACUACUUUAAACCUAAUGACUAUUCAUUGUAUCAUAGCUUGUGAUGUAUUCUGCUCACGGCUUUUAAGGUAAAUUGUGCCAUGAUCCACUGCCAUUCUAAUUGCUUUAACAAGUCAUUACCACACUACUGUUACAUCUUAAUUAUGCAUACAGACAGGUAGACUUAUUUUACAUAUGUGAACUAACUAGUUGUCAAAGCAAAUGCAGAUUGUAUUCUACAAGUAAAGUCUUUUUCUCUCUGAAAUUUCUAGGGAUGUUCUUUAAGUGAAAUUCAUAUUCAAACUGAAGAUUUUAGUUACAAGAACUGAGUGCAGAUUAAAGUCUUUUUGUGAUUCAAACAUAGUCAAGAGUACAACUGUGAUAUUUCAUGGAAGUUAUGCAAUAAAAUGUCUCUAACCUGCGAACAAAUCUAUCAAGCAGACGGCACAGUACUGAAUUUGAAACCAGAAAUACUGGGUUUUUAUAUAAAUGCUUCAUAGAUUUGUUUUAUGAUAAAGGGCACAUAACUCUCCUAAACCUCACACCACCUCUUGAAUAGGUAUAAUAAGUCCACAUCAAUGCUGAUGCCUUAGCUAUUAUUAAACUCUUACAGUAUGAUGUAAAGUGAAAGUACAAUGUAAGAUCAUUCCUAGGCCAACUUUGACCAGUUUUAUACAGAAACAUGUGCCAACUUUUCUGUUUGCAAGGAUAAUAUCAAAGCAAACACCAGAAAGUUAUAUCUUUGAUGCAUUUUUUUCAAAAUCAUACACAUAAUACACAAACCAAAGACAAAUGAUGAAUAUUAUGUCAGAAAAUAUAAAGUCUUCCCCUUUCUUCUUUUGCCAAGAAAGUCCAAUAUUUUCACCAUUUUUAUGCACACAAUCAACUUUAUUUAAGCUGGAAGUUAAUGUCUCAUUGUUUUCAUUGUUCUAAAUAAACACCUUUUCCCUUGAGUAUUGUUCUAA